UUGAAAUACCGAACUUAAAAAUGCAAGAUUUUGUGUCCAUUGAUUCAAAUGUAUUUCUUGCAAUCAUAGUACUGAUUAUAUCAUAUCCAAUGCACGAAAAAAGAAAUGUAUAUGUUGGGCCCGUUCUUGCAUUGGUCGACCAAAUUGAGGGAUAAAUUGGUAAAUUUUUCACUUGGGUCAUAGAUACAUCUUUGCAUCAUCGGUAUCUUUCCCUUUGAAGUUUGAAUCAAUGUCUCUCUCUUUUAAGAAGCACUCCCUCAAUCUCUCUCUCUACACAUACCUAAAUCCUAAGGAUGGAACAAGAGAAAGCUCCAAGGAAGACACCAAACCCAGCCUAUGGUCGUUUGUUCACAUAAACGUAACAAAAUUAUAAAGAGGAAGUUGGAAACAUGAGCGUCAAAGAGAGGUAACCGACAAAAAGAUACUCUUUCAAUUAAAUGGAAUCACGCCUGGUGAUCCAAGAGGUGCUACCGGCAGCUUUUGAAACGAAGAUAGGAACACAAGGACGUUCGAACGCAGUACCUGCUUGAAUACUAUGGGCAAGCUAAAAGAAACAAACUACUGAUGUUCUGAAGUUGCAAUAUACACACGAGAAUGCAAAUACAGAUUUGAAGAUGCAUCGACGAUAUACACACAAGAAGGCAAAUGUCUGCACCUGUUAACUUUUUGACUAACUUACAAGAUGUAUAUAACUUACUACAUAACAUUUGGUGUUAAUUAAUAAAGUAGAUCACGUAUUCUAGGA